rnacentral:tRNA from 1 species
GAGGGUAUAGCUCAGUGGUAGAGUGCAUGCUUAGCAUGUAUGAGUUCCUGGGUUCAGUUCCCAGGACCUCCA